GGUGAGUUGGCCGAGCGGUUGAAGGCGCACGUUUGGAGUACGUGUUUCCGUUUAUACGGGACUAGGGUUCGAAUCCCUAACUCACCG
rnacentral:tRNA from 1 species